rnacentral:rRNA from 1 species
UGGCGGACGGGUGAGUAACACGUGGAAGCGUGCCCGUUUGGUUGGGAACAACUCAGGGAAACGUAGAGCUAAUACCGGAUGUGCCCUUCGGGGGAAAUUUAUCGCCAUUGGAGCGGCCGCGUCUGAUGAGCUAGUUGGUGGGGUAAAGGCCCACCAAGGCGACGAUCAGUAGCUGGUCUGAGAGGAUGAUCAGCCACAUUGGGACUGAGACACGGCCCAAACUCCUACGGGAGGCAGCAGUGGGGAAUCUUGCGCAAUGGGCGAAAGCCUGACGCAGCCAUGCCGCGUGAAUGAUGAAGGUCUUAGGAUUGUAAAAUUCUUUCACCGGGGACGAUAAUGACGGUACCCGGAGAAGAGCCCCGGCUAACUUCGUGCCAGCAGCCGCGGUAAUACGAGGGGCUAGCGUGCUCGGAAUACUGGGCGUAAAGGGAGCGUAGGCGACUGUUUAGUCAGAGGUGAAGCCCAGGCUCAACCUUGGAUGCCUUUGAUACUGGCAGUCUUGAGUACGGAAGAG